AAUGAACGCUGGCGGCGUGCUUAACACAUGCAAGUCGAACGAGAAAUCUUUAGCUCGCUAGAGAAAGUAAAGUGGCGCACGGGUGAGUAACGCGUGGGUAAUCUGCCUCCGAAUCGGGGAUAACAUUGCGAAAGCGAUGCUAAUACCGGAUAAAAUCUGGUUGGCUUCGGUGAACCGGAUCAAAGGUGGUCUCUUUAUAAAAGNUACCGCCUGGAGAUGAGCUCGCGUACCAUUAGNUAGUUGGUGAGGUAAAGGCUCACCAAGGCGACGAUGGUUAGCUGGUCUGAGAGGAUGAUCAGCCACACCGGAACUGGAACACGGUCCGGACUCCUACGGGAGGCAGCAGUGAGGAAUUUUGCGCAAUGGGGGAAACCCUGACGCAGCAACGCCGCGUGAGUGAUGAAGGCUUUCGGGUCGUAAAGCUCUGUCGGGUGGGAAGAACCCACCAAGUGUUAAGACCACUUGGUGCUGACGGUACCACCGAAGGAAGCACCGGCUAACUCCGUGCCAGCAGCCGCGGUAAUACGGGGGGUGCGAGCGUUGUUCGGAAUUAUUGGGCGUAAAGGGCGCGUAGGCGGCUUGGCAAGCCUGGUGUGAAAGGCCACAGCUUAACUGUGGGAGUGCGCUGGGAACUGCCUAGCUAGAGUUUCGGAGGGGAAGCUGGAAUUCCUGGUGUAGGGGUGAAAUCUGUAGAUAUCAGGAAGAACAUCUGUGGCGAAGGCGAGCUUCUGGCCAGAAACUGACGCUGAGGCGCGAAGGCGUGGGGAGCGAACAGGAUUAGAUACCCUGGUAGUCCACGCUGUAAACGAUGUGCACUAGGUGUUGGCUGUGAUAACGGUCAGUGCCGAAGCAAACGCGAUAAGUGCACCGCCUGGGGAGUAUGCUCGCAAGGGUGAAACUCAAAGGAAUUGACGGGGGCCCGCACAAGCGGUGGAGCAUAUGGUUUAAUUCGAUGAUACGCGAGGAACCUUACCAGGGUUUGACAUAUGGCGGACUGCGGCAGAGAUGUCGCUUCCCUUCGGGGCCGUCAUACAGGUGCUGCAUGGCUGUCGUCAGCUCGUGCUGUGAGGUGUUGGGUUAAGUCCCGCAACGAGCGCAAC
rnacentral:rRNA from 1 species